rnacentral:rRNA from 1 species
ACUCAAAGGAAUUGACGGGGACCCGCACAAGCGGUGGAUGAUGUGGUUUAAUUUGACGCUACGCGAAGAACCUUACCAAGGCUUGACAUCCCAGGAAUCCGCAAGAAACUGUGGAGUGCCCUCGGGAGCCUGGUGACAGGUGCUGCAUGGCCGUCGUCAGCUCGUGUCGUGAGAUGUUGGGUUAAGUCCCGCAACGAGCGCAACCCUUGUCGUAUGUUGAAUUUUUCAUGCGAGACUGCCCGGGCCAACCGGGAGGAAGGUGAGGAUGACGUCAGGUCAGCAUGGCCCUUACGCCUUGGGCUACACACGUCAUACAAUGGCCGGUACAACGCGCUUGCCAACCCGCGAGGGGGAGCUAAUCGCAACAAAACCGGUCCCAGUUCGGAUUGGAGGCUGCAACUCGCCUCCAUGAAGUCGGAAUCGCUAGUAACCGUGGGUCAGCAUACCGCGGUGAAUACGUUCCCGGGUCUUGUACACACCGCCCGU